rnacentral:rRNA from 1 species
AUAAACGCUGGCGGCGCCCAUAAGACAUGCCAGUUGAACGGACUUAAUCGAAAUAUUUAUAUUUUGAAGCGGUUAGUGGCGGACUGGUGAGUAACGCGUAAGGAACCUGCCUAUUAGAGGGGAAUAACAGUGAGAAAUCAUUGCUAAUACCGCAUAUGCCAUAGAUAUCACAUGAUAACAGUGGGAAAGGAGCAAUCCGCUAAUAGAUGGCCUUGCGUCUGAUUAGAUAGUUGGUGGGGUAACGGCCUACCAAGUCGACGAUCAGUAGCCGGACUGAGAGGUUGAACGGCCACAUUGGGACUGAGAUACGGACCAGACUCCUACGGGAGGCAGCAGUCGGGAAUAUUGCGCAAUGGAGGAAACUCUGACGCAGUGACGCCGCGUAUAGGAAGAAGGUUUUCGGAUUGGAAACUAUUGUCGUUAGGGAAGAGAAAGGACAGUACCUAAGGAGGAAGCUCCGGCUAACUACGUG